AGAGUGAACGCUGGCGGUAGGCCUAACACAUGCAAGUCGAACGGCAGCACGGUAAGAGCUUGCUCUUAUGGGUGGCGAGUGGCGGACGGGUGAGGAAUACAUCGGAAUCUACCUUUUGGUGGGGGAUAACGUAGGGAAACUUACGCUAAUACCGCAUACGCCCUUCGGGGGAAAGCCGGGACCAGGCAAUGGCCUGGCGCUGAUAGAUGAGCCGAUGUCGGAUUAGCUAGUUGGUGAGGUAAUGGCUCGACCGAAGGCGACGAUCCGUAGCUGGUCUGAGAGGAUGAUCAGCCACACUGGAACUGAGACACCGGUCCAGACGUCCGUACGGGAGGCCGAGCGAGUAGGGGAAUAGUUGGACAAGUCGGGGCGACGUAACGGCC
rnacentral:rRNA from 1 species